AAUGGGAGGAUGACAAAUCAGAUUUUUCCUCCUGAUUUUCAGCUUUUUCCUCCUGAAAAAAAAUCAAAUCCAACUAAAAAUGCUAAAAAUCAGGAGGAAAAAUCUGAUUUGUCAUCCUCCCAUU
rnacentral:pre_miRNA from 1 species